UCUUCCCAUCAAUCACUCAUUUGCAUUCUUUCUUCACUCACCUUCAUAUCCUUCAUUCAUGAUCAUAUUUACUAUUUCAUAUUUAUUUUUAUUUUUUUUAUUUUUUUUAUUUUUUACAUUUUUCACGUUCCAAAUUUACAUUCAUAAUUUCUUCAUUCACAUUCAAAAAAAAUCAUUCAUAUUCGAGAAAUUCCACAUACUCAUUCAUAGUUCGAUUCCUUCAUUCAUUCAUUCAAUCAUAACCAUCC
rnacentral:lncRNA from 1 species